UUGAAGUUGAUUCGGGUUGUCGCUGGCUCUUUGAGCAUGUGCACGCCCGUUCAUAUUCAUUCUCUCUUGUGCACCUCUAGCUAGACUAUGAAUACCUCUCGGGUGAAAAUCUCGGAUUGAGGGUUGCGCCUCACACGCGCUCCCCUUGCAUUUUCAUGGUCUAUGUCCUUCAUAUAUACCCUUUGUAUGUCUUUGAAUGUCUUUUUGUGGGUCCUCUGUGACCUAUAAAUGUCAGUA
rnacentral:misc_RNA from 1 species